rnacentral:rRNA from 1 species
AGAGUUGAUCAUGGCUCAGGAUAACGCUGGCGGCGUGCCUAAUACAUGCAAGUCGAAUGGUAGUAGCAAUACAAACCAUGGCGAACGGGUGAGUAACACGUAGGUAACCUGUCUUUAAGACGAGGAUAACCAUUGGAAACGAUGGAUAAUACUGGAUAGGACAUCAUAAAGGGCAUCCUUAGAUGUUUAAAGAUUAUUAUGUCACUUAGAGAGGGGCCUGCGGCGCAUUAGCUAGUUGGUGAGGUAAGAGCCCACCAAGGCGAUGAUGCGUAGCCGGACUGAGAGGUUGAACGGCCACAAUGGAACUGAGAACGGUCCAUACUCCUACGGGAGGCAGCAGUAGGGAAUUUUCGGCAAUGGGCGCAAGCCUGACCGAGCAACGCUGCGUGAACGAAGAAGUUAUUCGUAAUGUAAAGUUCUUUUAUCUGGGAAGAAAAAACAAAUUGACGGUACCAGAUGAAUAAGCUCCGGCUAACUACGUGCCAGCCGCGGC